UAAGGUGGCUUUUCUGAAGAUC
rnacentral:miRNA from 1 species